ACUCCUACGGGAGGCAGCAGUGGGGAAUAUUGCACAAUGGGGAACCGUAGCAUGCAGCCAUGCCGCGUGUGUGAAGAAGGCCUUCGGGUUGUAAAGCACUUUCAGCGAGGAGGAAAGGGUGUAAGUUAAUACCUUACAUCUGUGACGUUACUCGCAGAAGAAGCACCGGCUAACUCCGUGCCAGCAGCCGCGGUAAUACGGAGGGUGCGAGCGUUAAUCGGAAUUACUGGGCGUAAAGCGUGCGCAGGCGGUUUGUUAAGCGAGAUGUGAAAG
rnacentral:rRNA from 1 species